AAGUCGUAACAAGGUCUCCGUAGGUGAACCUGCGGAGGGAUCAUUACCAGAAGCCGCGUCGCGGCCCCUCGGGCCCGGCGCCUUCGCCCAACCCUUUGUGAACCGAAAUCAAUUUCCUCGGGGGACCCCGGGGCCCUCGGGCCCGCGGACCCCCGGCGGACACCUCAACUCUUGUCGUCACUGCCGUCCGAGUACAACGCAAAUGAAACAAAA
rnacentral:misc_RNA from 1 species